AGAGCUUGCUCUCUGGGUGGCGAGUGGCGGACGGGUGAGGAAUACAUCGGAAUCUACUCUGUCGUGGGGGAUAACGUAGGGAAACUUACGCUAAUACCGCAUACGACCUACGGGUGAAAGCAGGGGAUCUUCGGACCUUGCGCGAUUGAAUGAGCCGAUGUCGGAUUAGCUAGUUGGCGGGGUAAAGGCCCACCAAGGCGACGAUCCGUAGCUGGUCUGAGAGGAUGAUCAGCCACACUGGAACUGAGACACGGUCCAGACUCCUACGGGAGGCAGCAGUGGGGAAUAUUGGACAAUGGGCGCAAGCCUGAUCCAGCCAUACCGCGUGGGUGAAGAAGGCCUUCGGGUUGUAAAGCCCUUUUGUUGGGAAAGAAAUCCAGCCGGCUAAUACCUGGUUGGGAUGACGGUACCCAAAGAAUAAGCACCGGCUAACUUCGUGCCAGCAGCCGCGGUAAUACGAAGGGUGCAAGCGUUACUCGGAAUUACUGGGCGUAAAGCGUGCGUAGGUGGUCGUUUAAGUCCGUUGUGAAAGCCCUGGGCUCAACCUGGGAACUGCAGUGGAUACUGGGCGACUAGAAUGUGGUAGAGGGUAGCGGAAUUCCUGGUGUAGCAGUGAAAUGCGUAGAGAUCAGGAGGAACAUCCAUGGCGAAGGCAGCUACCUGGACCAACAUUGACACUGAGGCACGAAAGCGUGGG
rnacentral:rRNA from 1 species